GAGGGUCUCCGAGUUGCUUCUCAAAGAAGUUAUUGUGAGAAACUUCUUAUCUUUGAACAGUUGUUUUCAUUUCUCACAAUAACAAAGUGUUCUCACCUGAGUCAUCCCCCUAUUAACAAAGAUAUUUUGUUACACAAACCUUAUUUGAACAGUUGUUUCUCAAAGAAGUUUCGGUCAUGCCAUGAGAACGGAUUGAGUUUGUGAUUGGUUUUCAAGUUAAUAAUAUUUGGUGUCAGACAAUUGGCAAACCUGGUAACUCUUAGCAGCCUUUAACUCUUGUUAACUCCUGCUCAAAUUUACUUAUUGCAAAGGUAAUAAAGAUGAAAAUUUUGAUAACCUUUUGAAUUUCAGAUGAUUAUUGGAAAUUGGUUUUUGUUUACAGUGACUGUGGUAAAGAGUGGAACUAAUGCUUUACCGUAUCUGUGAUUGGAUGGUGACACGAGUUCCAUUGGUUUUCCAGGGGUUGCUAAGUGUAUAGAGAUUGGUCUGCCGGAGCUUAUUUUCUAGUAUUAGUAUCCCAGGCAGAGUUCCUUCAAGUUGCAUCCACCUAGUGUCUUUAUACUUUAGCGAAUGAGAUUGAAUUAUAUCCGUUCAUUGAUUUUCUCUUUUUAAAAUUGGAAUAGGAUUUGGUUUCUGAUUAAUUGUUAUUCUUUCUUGUGAAAAUGAUUUUCUUAAAUUGUAUAUUCUGUGUUUUUGGAUCACAGUCUAGUGGAGCUUUAAUUUUUGUAUAUAGGUAAGCAAGUGCAACACCAUUACCGCAGUAGAAGAGUUGUGCAGAUGUCUGCUGGAUUCAUGAUUUUCUCUUCAUUUUUUGGUGAGUCAGUUAAACACGAUAAGUUUGUAAUUUGAUUCAGUAAUUACUAACAUUUCCUUCACGAUUUAGGAAAAUUUGGAACAGUUUUCGCAUCUAUCCCACCUGCAAUUGUUGCUGCCAUUCUUUGCUUAUGUUUUUUUUUUUGACAGGACCAUUCUUUGCUUAUGUUGGUGUUUACGUAAGGAAGAAAUACUGCAUGUUCAGCCUCCUCAAAGUCAUUUCUUUUUUCACUCUUAUUGUAUUGAUUGAUUGACUAGCUUUUGUGCUCCCUGAAGUGCAGAACCACAUUUAAGAAUUGAAAGAAAGAUUUGCAUGCUGAAAGGUUGGUGAUCUGGUGUUGGUCACUUGGAAUCAAAUGAAAAUUCUAGCCGCUGGCAUAGUAGUGACACAGUGGUGCUAGAGUUCAACCAUUACACACCUGGCUUAAGAUGGAGACAGAAUAGUAUCAGUGGCUUUCUUAGCUAGCAAGGCUUCAACUCUGGCCAUUUUGGCAGCUACUGCUCCGUUUUUUGGUAAGCCAUGUUUUUUGAAUUGGAAUCAUGUUUAUUGUUCUUUCUUUGAGGUGUGUGAACUGGUUUUUUUUUUUGGUCAAGUAUAGCCUACUUUGAAAAACGUUAAAACUAAGGGGAAAUAAGUUUUGGCUGAAAGAGACAACGGCUAGUCCUUUGUUGGCUACAUCUUGUUAGUUAAUUUUUUUGCAGGGAUGUAACCCUUAGAUCUAUUUGAACGUCAACUCAGCUAAUCUACUUGCACCUCAACUCAGCUAUGCCAUGUAUUUAAUGUGUUUUAAGGGAUAGAGCUGACAGUGGUCGAAUUCUGAAUAGCCUAACCAUACUUAUUUGCCUUGUCCUAUACUUAUUAAACUAUUUUAUACUUUUCAGUUCAAACUAAAUAAAUUUUCCUGUAUCUGAAUUAAGUGUUUGGGUAAUGUAUACUACAAGCAUUUUUCAUUUUCAUUUAGUUCGGUGGCUAUUCUGAGUCUGCACUUCGUAGUCAACUAUUUUUCUUUUCUUGUCUUUGGCGCUGUAACUUUUAGGCUCGAGUGUUUAGGAAUUGAAUAAGUGUUAGACUUUGAAUUGGAAUUAGUAGCUUGAAGAUAUAGUCCUUGGACUCUCUCCUCAGGUAUGUAUACUCCUUGAAAUUCUCACUUAUGCGGUUUGUAUACAAAAAGAUAAGUUAGCACUAUUUUAAACAUGAGUUAGUAGCUAGGCAAUACUAAAUUUUUAACUUUAAGUCAAAUGUAUGUAUAUGCUGUCAGACAACCCUUGAAUACAACCAAUUUUUAGAGUAAAACUAAAAGCAAAACUUAAAAAUUGUCACAUAGCAUUUAUGCUAAAGUACUAUUCCAAACACAAGAUUCAUAUUGCAUAGUUGCGAACUCUGUUGUUAAAAGCGGCCGCUAUUGUGGCGUGGCGGGGAAAAAUCGAGGUCACUGCUACUAGCCGUGUCGGAGCGGCGCAGACGAGUGAUGCGGUGGGAGCUGUUGGGGUUGCAGGCGCUAUUGCAGAUCGGUUCGGUGUUGAUUUCUUUUCAUUGCUUUCUAUUAUUUUUGGGAUUGGGGCAGGCGAUUUUUCAUACUAUAUCAACAAUUCACAUCUUGGGACAUCCUGAACGGCCUCUAGCGAUAAGAUAUGUAUCUCUUAAUUAUUUUACACACUCUGUCAUAUUUCAUAGAAUCUCCCCUUAUCUAUCACGACUACGCCAAAUAUAAAGUGAUUAAACAUUCAAUGUUUGCCAAGGUAUCCAUGUAUCAAUGCUUCAUAUAAUUUUUUUAAUGUAUUUCAUCAAUUUUUUAAAGUUUUUGCGGUGUAUUUAGGCUUACAAUAGAUAAUUGCAUAAUAUAUUUUCCACUUCAAUCUUAAAAUUAGAAGUUUAGUUUAUCUUUACUCUCUGACAUGAACUGAAAAAAGUUUUGGUCUGUUUGCUUUUGAAUGUGUUUCUUUUUCUUUGAUAGUAAAUAUGUGAAACAAAUAUUAGAGGAGCUUGAGACAGUUUUUUUUCCAGGGUAACUGAAAAUGUCUUUUGGCAGAGUGAUUUGAGAUCUUUUGAAGAGAAAGUUUCUCAAUCUUUGUGAAUGCUUAUAAAUCUAGGAAAUUAAUUACUUUAGGAAUUAUUGUUACUUUUUUUGGAAGCAAAUGGCACAAUUGAAGAAAUUUUUUCAGUGGCCAUUUAGCGAUUGGUACUCCAACAUAAUAUUGAAAUGUUCUUAGACAUAAGAUAUAUUUUUUAAGUUGUGGCCCCCUAUUCUGGUUUCAUGUUGUAAUUCAAUCAGGACUGAUAUACAUAAGGUUUAAGUAUUAUAAAGUUACAAUUUUCACACUAGCCAUAAACAAUAAUCUUUCUGGAGAGUAUCUACUUGAUUAUAUCCCGACACUUGCUGAAUUGAUCUUUUGGGAAUGUUGAAAUUAUGAUCUUCUUCUUGCUUUAGGAGAUCUUGAUAUGCAUUGGAAAACCAACAUUUAGUUGUCAUAAGACAUGAAUGUAGUUGCUAGUGGGUUUUAGUUGUCAUAAGCCAUUGAUCUAGCCAUAGAAGUAGAUUUAUAGUACGUACCAUGAUAUAUGAAUCCUCAGACUUAGUAGGAGAGAAGCAAUUCUAGCCUGCAUGGAGACAUCAAUAUAAUAUGUCUUGACAUAAUUCAGAUUUCCAUCAUUUGUCUUAUCCUCGGAUAUGUCUAUUUCUUUUUUCCAUUUUGAAAUUGAUUUCUUGUGAUGUUGCUGGCAGAUGCAAAAAGCAUUCGGUUUAGAGAAAGUCCUAAAGAAGGGGGGUGGGAUCUGGAAAAAUAUUUAUGGGACUGAUGAAAAGAAGGUCGCCGAUGAUAUUUUGGUAGAACGUACUAGUUAUACUGCAAACAAUACGGUGGGAAUGAUGGCAUUGUCGACUUGCUCUAGGAAAUUCAACGUCUUUUUCCCAGAAAGUUGCGCUCAAGAUGGCUUUGACCUUAUACUGUUAGUCAAGUCUUUCUUGAUGGAGCACUUGAAGCUUCUAAAGAAGGUGGCACCACUUUCAUAGUUAAGGGACAACAUGCAAAACAUUACGAGGAAGGGUUGCUCCAAGUGAGAUAUGUCGUUCGCCUCAGUGAUUGAAAGCUUUCCCAGGGAAGUCACUUUUACUCUCACUUAUUUACUUUUGUGCCUGGUUGAAUAUUUUACAUUGAAGACCAUGCUCUGAACUAGUGUGGGGUAAGUCGUUCGCCUCAGUGAUUGAAUUUUCUGGCUUGUUUUAAUUAAGUUUUUCUUAAAAAUAGAGAUUAUGUCUUUGAAGGGACCCUUGAAAAUUUUAUUUGACAGACUUGUUCAAUGUUGAUAAUGUGCUAUGUUGACUAUCUUUUUGUGAACUAACUUCUAAAUGUGAGAUUUGAGCCUUUAUAAUGGGAUUACAUUCUAGAACUUGUAUGGGAUUACAUUCUAGAACUUGUCUUGUUACCAUGUCAAAGAGAAAAUUGAUUUGCAUCAUGUGAAAAAAUUGUUGGGGCAUUUGUAGGUAUUUCUUUUAUUGUUUUGAAAUCAUCCUUAGUUGCCCACUUUGAGCCUAUUUAUUAUGCAUUUCCUUGGUUUUUGUUUUAUAUUUCUCGUCUGGUGUUAAUAAGAAACAAAAUGAAUGUUAACAGGCAUCCUUGGAUAAGGAAGACUGUUCUUCUCAUAAGGUGGUUAUUGCCCAGCAAGCUGCAGACCUAAAAUUGAAGGAAAAGAGGAAGCGGGAACGAUAGAAAAAUUUGCCAAGAAAGAAGCGCAGAAAGUUGGAAGCAGCUAGAGAGAUGUUGGAGGAUGACGAGCAAGAUCACAAACCAAAAGGUAAGGGGACAUAAAAGAAUGAAAAGGCUGGAUUGACACUUGCCGAUCUUGCUUACCAACGUGCUAAAGCAGUUAAGGCCACCAAUAGGGCACUAGACUCUAGUAAGAUUGUGAAGAAGCCUCAAAAGAAAUCUAAUAAAUCUAAUCCUUUGCGAAAGCCUUACUCUUCCUGGCUAGAGGAAAUGCGGGAGCUAUUCCAGACUGACGUGAAGGAUAAAAAGCCGAAACAGAGAGGUUCUGGAACAGGAAAGAAGGCGAAGAAGUCAUUCAAAAGCAAGCUGUGACCAGAGCUCACAUGCUGAUGGGUUGCAGUUCCCAGGAAUUAAUAACGGCAUUAUAUAGCCAUAAAGUUUGACAUUAUUGCAGUUUUGUUUAUUACUCAAACAUGUCCGUUCAAUUUUUUGUGGCUCUAAAUGCUCUAUAUUCAGUAUGUUUAUCUAUCUGAUGGUUUAUGGCAGAAUAAUAUUGAAAACUAAAGUAAAGUAUGUUGAAGAGAAUAAUACUGAGAUGAAAUAGGGAAAUUCAGUUUAUUAAUGACUCUUAGCAAUUGGCAAACCUGGUAACUCUUAGCAGCCUUUAACUCUUGUUAACUCCUGCUCAAAUUUACUUAUUGCAAAGGUAAUAAAGAUGAAAAUUUUGAUAACCUUUUGAAUUUCAGAUGAUUAUUGGAAAUUGGUUUUUGUUUACAGUGACUGUGGUAAAGAGUGGAACUAAAGCUUUACCGUAUCUGUGAUUGGAUGGUGACACGAGUUCCAUUGGUUUUCCAGGGGUUGCUAAGUGUAUAGAGAUUGGUCUGCCGGAGCUUAUUUUCUAGUAUUUGUGUCCCAGGCAGAGUUCCUUCAAGUUGCAUCCACCUAGUGUCUUUAUACUUUAGCGAAUGAGAUUGAAUUAUAUCCAUUCAUUGAUAUUCUCUUUUUAAAAUUGGAAUAGGAUUUGGUUUCUGAUUAAUUGUUAUUCUUUCUUGUGAAAAUGAUUUUCUUAAAUUGUAUAUUCUGUGUUUUUGGUUCACAGUCUAGUGGAGCUUUAAUUUUUGUAUAUAGGUAAGCAAGUGCAACACCAUUACUGCCUUCUAUUCUUAGUCGGGGUAUUGGUUGGUAGUGACUGUGGUAAAGAGUGGAACUAAAGCUUUACCGUAUCUGUGAUUGGAUGGUGACACGAGUUCCAUUGGUUUUCCAGGGGUUGCUAAGUGUAUAGAGAUUGGUCUGCCGGAGCUUAUUUUCUAGUAUUUGUGUCCCAGGCAGAGUUCCUUCAAGUUGCAUCCACCUAGUGUCUUUAUACUUUAGCGAAUGAGAUUGAAUUAUAUCCAUUCAUUGAUUUUCUCUUUUUAAAAUUGGAAUAGGAUUUGGUUUCUGAUUAAUUGUUAUUCUUUCUUGUGAAAAUGAUUUUCUUAAAUUGUAUAUUCUGUGUUUUUGGUUCACAGUCUAGUGGAGCUUUAAUUUUUGUAUAUAGGUAAGCAAGUGCAACACCAUUACUGCCUUCUAUUCUUAGUCGGGGUAUUGGUUGGUAGUGACUGUGGUAAAGAGUGGAACUAAAGCUUUACCGUAUCUGUGAUUGGAUGGUGACACGAGUUCCAUUGGUUUUCCAGGGGUUGCUAAGUGUAUAGAGAUUGGUCUGCUGGAGCUUAUUUUCUAGUAUUUGUGUCCCAGGCAGAGUUCCUUCAAGUUGCAUCCACCUAGUGUCUUUAUACUUUAGCGAAUGAGAUUGAAUUAUAUCCAUUCAUUGAUUUUCUCUUUUUAAAAUUGGAAUAGGAUUUGGUUUCUGAUUAAUUGUUAUUCUUUCUUGUGAAAAUGAUUUUCUUAAAUUGUAUAUUCUGUGUUUUUGGUUCACAGUCUAGUGGAGCUUUAAUUUUUGUAUAUAGGUAAGCAAGUGCAACACCAUUACUGCCUUCUAUUCUUAGUCGGGGUAUUGGUUGGUAGUGACUGUGGUAAAGAGUGGAACUAAAGCUUUACCGUAUCUGUGAUUGGAUGGUGACACGAGUUCCAUUGGUUUUCCAGGGGUUGCUAAGUGUAUAGAGAUUGGUCUGCUGGAGCUUAUUUUCUAGUAUUUGUGUCCCAGGCAGAGUUCCUUCAAGUUGCAUCCACCUAGUGUCUUUAUACUUUAGCGAAUGAGAUUGAAUUAUAUCCAUUCAUUGAUUUUCUCUUUUUAAAAUUGGAAUAGUAUUUGGUUUCUGAUUAAUUGUUAUUCUUUCUUGUGAAAAUGAUUUUCUUAAAUUGUAAUAGGAUUUGGUUUCUGAUUAAUUGUUAUUCUUUCUUGUGAAAAUGAUUUUCUUAAAUUGUAUAUUCUGUGUUUUUGGUUCACAGUCUAGUGGAGCUUUAAUGUUUGUAUAUAGGUAAGCAAGUGCAACACCAUUACUGCCUUCUAUUCUUAGUCGGGGUAUUGGUUGGUAGUGACUGUGGUAAAGAGUGGAACUAAAGCUUUACCGUAUCUGUGAUUGGAUGGUGACACGAGUUCCAUUGGUUUUCCAGGGGUAAGCAAGUGCAACACCAUUACCGCAGUAGAAGAGUUGUGCAGAUGUCUGCUGGAUUCAUGAUUUUCUCUUCAUUUUUUGGACCAUUCUUUGCUUAUGUUGGUGUUUACGUAAGGAAGAAAUACUGCAUGUUCAGCCUCCUCAAAGUCAUUUCUUUUUUCACUCUUAUUGUAUUGAUUGAUUGACUAGCUUUUGUGCUCCCUGAAGUGCAGAACCACAUUUAAGAAUUGAAAGAAAGAUUUGCAUGCUGAAAGGUUGGUGAUCUGGUGUUGGUCACUUGGAAUCAAAUGAAAAUUCUAGCCGCUGGCAUAGUAGUGACACAGUGGUGCUAGAGUUCAACCAUUACACACCUGGCUUAAGAUGGAGACAGAAUAGUAUCAGUGGGUAAGAUCAUAGGGCGGAAGAAAUUGAGGCUGAUGAAUUUUUAUGGGGGAAUAAGAUCACAGUGAGAAUGAAUUUGAUCACUUGUUUAUCUAGAAGUCCUUGUUUCCAUGGAUAUGAAGCAAGUGAACAAUGCAUAUCCACAACAUUUAUAUUUGAGCUAUCAUUCAUUCAUUCAUUCCUAAUAAGCACAGUUUCGUUACGUGCAGCUUUCUUAGCUAGCAAGGCUUCAACUCUGGCCAUUUUGGCAGCUACUGCUCCGUUUUUUGAUGCAAAAAGCAUUCGGUUUAGAGAAAGUCCUAAAGAAGGGGGGUGGGAUCUGGAAAAAUAUUUAUGGGACUGAUGAAAAGAAGGUCGCCGAUGAUAUUUUGGUAGAACGUACUAGUUAUACUGCAAACAGUACGGUGGGAAUGAUGGCAUGUCGACUUGCUCUAGGAAAUUCAACGUCUUUUUCCCAGAAAGUUGUGCUCAAGAUGGCUUUGACCUUAUACUGUUAGUCAAGUCUUUCUUGAUGGAGCACUUGAAGCUUCUAAAGAAGGUGGCACCACUUUCAUAGUUAAGGGACAACAUGCAAAACAUUACGAGGAAGGGUUGCUCCAAGUGAGAUAUGUCGUUCGCCUCAGUGAUUGAAAGCUUUCUCAGGGAAGUCACUUUUACUCUCACUUAUUUACUUUUGUGCCUGGUUGAAUAUUUUACAUUGAAGACCAUGCUCUGAACUAGUGUGGGGUAUGUCGUUCGCCUCAGUGAUUGAAUUUUCUGGCUUGUUUUAAUUAAGUUUUUCUUAAAAAUAGAGAUUAUGUCUUCGAAGGGACCCUUGAAAAUUUAUUUGACAGACUUGUUCAAUGUUGAUAAUGUGCUAUGUUGACUAUCUUUUUGUGAACUAACUUCUAAAUGUGAGAUUUGAGCCUUUAUAAUGGGAUUACAUUCUAGAACUUGUCUUGUGACCAUGUCAAAGAGAAAAUUGAUUUGCAUCAUGUGAAAAAAUUGUUGGGGCAUUUGUAGGUAUUUCUUUUAUUGUUUUGAAAUCAUCCUUAGUUGCCCACUUUGAGCCUAUUUAAAAGAAUGAAAAGGCUGGAUUGACACUUGCCGAUCUUGCUUACCAACGUGCUAAAGCAGUUAAGGCCACCAAGAGGGCACUAGACUCUAGUAAGAUUGUGAAGAAGCCUCAAAAGAAAUCUAAUAAAUCUAAUCCUUUGCGAAAGCCUUACUCUUCCUGGCUAGAGGAAAUGCGGGAGCUAUUCCAGACUGACGUGAAAGAUAAAAAGCCGAAACAGAGAGGUUCUGGAACAUGAAAGAAGGCGAAGAAGUCAUUCAAAAGCAAGCCAUUCCAGGUAUUCAAUAUAUGCUAUUAUGCUUCAAAGUGAUGGUACUACUGGAGUUGUUGUGUGGCUGGAUCUCUUACAUCUUGGAGGUUUUGUAUGACAAACUACUCACAAUGAUGACUGAAAAUCUACAUAUUGCAAAGACUUUUGUAGUGGCUUUAACCAUAUGUUGCUUUAUUUGAUGUGGCAGCUUGACAAUAAAUAUAUCGUUGCUUUCUGGAACACAACACAUUGAACAAUUCUUCAGUCAAUUUGUUACAACACAUGGCUCUGCAAAGAAUUUGCCUAGAUCAUGUACUUCAAGGCUCAGUCCAAGGCUGUGAUUUUUCCCUCAAUAUGUUGUAUCACAAAUCACCACACCAAUCUUCUUUGUAAAUGCGACAUAUGACUCAUGGCAGUGGUUGACGUAGAGAGCUGCAACUGGAAUUAAACGCAUUAAUUUUGACAGUCUCUAGUGGCAAGCUUUUGAUACAAAGGUCUAGGGUGUGUUAAUUCAAGGUGUUGAUAAGCCUUGGAACAUUCAAACUUCCAAAAGCAUACAACGGAGUUUGGAACAGAUCAAGAAAUGACCUUUUUGUACGCCUAAGAAUCUGCAACUUUGUAACAAUUAAUACAAGAGCAUGCAAAGAAGCAUCUCAGUCAUUGACAAGGGUAACAUACAGACUAGUCACAUGACCUUCUAGUGAGUGUGUGAUUUUAGAUUUAUCUUCUUUCAUAUAUGGACCUGCAUUAUUGCAUUUCUUGUUAAUGGCAAACCAUUUUAUUUUCUCAAU